rnacentral:lncRNA from 1 species
AGGUCAAAUACCAAUUAUUGUAUGAAUCCCAAUCAAAGGCUGGGCACAGCAGAAAAGGAAGGAAGCUCCUAGAAGUUCACCUGGGCACUCCUGGAAGGGGAAAGGAGAAAAUGGAAGUUGGGGAGGCAGUCAAGAGUCCUUCUUUCCAGCAUACCUUGCAGUGUACUGGACAUCAGAUAACACAAGCUGCGCUAGCACUAAAGGCGGGGAGAAAACAGCAGUACUUUUGGAGUUCCUGUCUUGGCUCUGCAGAAACGAAUCUAACCUAGUAUCCAUGAGGAUGUGGGUUCGAUCCCUGGCCUCGCUCAGUGGGUCAGGGAUCCAGCAUUGCUGUGAACCCUGGUGUAGGUCGUAACGCGACUUGGACACCGCAUCGCUGUGGCUGUGGCACAGGCUCGCGGUAGCUCUGAUUCAGACCCCCUAGUCCAGGAACCUUGAUAUGCCUAAAAAGACAAAAAAAAAAAAAAAAGGAGGGGGUAGUAUUUUUAUAAAAGCCUUUUAUGGCCCUAGUUUUAUAAGAAAAAGAGAAUAAAAUAUUAUAUUACCUGUUGUCCAGAACACUGUUUAUCAUUUUUAAAACAUUUAUUAUUUCUCCCUAGUUCCUGAGCGGGCAUUUCAUGUUGAAAUACCCUGGCGUUGAUCUAUUAGAAGAUUUAUCAAAUUUAAAGCCCACUAAUCCUAGUACCUUUCAUGGUUGCGUAUGUUUCAGAAUCUCACUGCACAUCUUGAUCGAGACCAGGAGCGAGGAUACACAGCCAGUGCUUCACGAGUGCUUUGUCUUCUCUGGCAUUGAAGUGUUAUAUUCAUUUCCCUGAAGAAGCAACAGGGAAAUGAACUGUAGCAAAUGCUGUUUAUUUCUGGAAUGAACACCCUCCAGUCCUAGAGAAUGGCCUGGGAUUAGAGAAAUCACUGAUAUUCUUAAAAGAACUCAUCUCCCCACUGAACAAAGGAGCAGAAAACAUAAUGGCUGUUGUAAACAACAAUUAGGAUUUUAAAAAUUGCCUUAUUGAAAUGGUUUGAGUUCUUUGCAGAGAUACACAAAUUUUGACUAAAUAAACCCAUAGAAAUAAAAGUGCUUCUAAAAGAU